rnacentral:rRNA from 1 species
GCAUAUCAAUAAGCGGAGGAAAAGAAACUAACAAGGAUUCCCCUAGUAACUGCGAGUGAAGCGGGAAAAGCUCAAAUUUAAAAUCUGGCGGUCUUUGGCCGUCCGAGUUGUAAUCUAGAGAAGUAAUGCCCGUGCUGGACCGUGUAUAAGUCUCCUGGGAUGGGGCGUCAUAGAGGGUGAGAAUCCCGUCUUUGACACGGACUACCAGUGCAUUGUGGUAUGCUCUCAAAGAGUCGAGUUGUUUGGGAAUGCAGCUCAAAAUGGGUGGUAAAUUCCAUCUAAAGCUAAAUAUUGGCGAGAGACCGAUAGCGAACAAGUACCGUGAGGGAAAGAUGAAAAGAACUUUGGAAAGAGAGUUAAACAGUACGUGAAAUUGCUGAAAGGGAAACGCUUGAAGUCAGUCGCGUUGGCCAGGGAUCAGCCUUGCUUUUGCAUGGUGUACUUUCUGGUUGACGGGUCAGCAUCAAUUUUGACCGCUGGAAAAGGGCCUGGGGAAUGUGGCAGCUUCGGCUGUGUUAUAGCCCCUGGUCGCAUACAGUGGUUGGGAUUGAGGAACUCAGCACGCCGCAAGGCCGGGUUUCGACCACGUUCGUGCUUAGGAUGCUGGCAUAAUGGCUUUAAGCGACCCGUCUUGAAACACGGACCAAGGAGUCUAACAUGCCUGCGAGUAUUUGGGUGGAAAACCCGACUGCGCAAUGAAAGUGAAAGUUGAGAUCCCUGUCGUGGGGAGCAUCGACGCCCGGACCAGAACUUUUGGGACGGAUCCGCGGUGGAGCAUGUAUGUUGGGACCCGAAAGAUGGUGAACUAUGCCUGAAUAGGGUGAAGCCAGAGGAAACUCUGGUGGAGGCUCGUAGCGAUUCUGACGUGCAAAUCGAUCGUCAAAUUUGGGUAUAGGGGCGAAAGACUAAUCGAACCAUCUAGUAGCUGGUCCUGCCGAG